rnacentral:rRNA from 1 species
UACGAAGGGUGCUAGCGUUGUUCGGAAUUACUGGGCGUAAAGCGCGCGUAGGCGGCGAUACAAGUCAGGGGUGAAAUCCCGGAGCUCAACUCCGGAAUUGCCUUUGAAACUGUAUUGCUUGAGUGUCGGAGGGGAUAGCGGAAUUCCUAAUGUAGAGGUGAAAUUCGUAGAUAUUAGGAGGAACACCGGUGGCGAAGGCGGCUAUCUGGACGACUACUGACGCUGAGGCGCGAAAGCGUGGGGAUCAAACAGG